AAGGAAUAUUGGUCAAUGGAGGAAACUCUGAACCAGCCAUCCCGCGUGCAGGAAGAAUGCCCUAUGGGUUGUAAACUGCUUUUAUCUGGGAAGAAAAGCCGGCAUUUAUGUUGGUCUGACGGUACCAGAGGAAUAAGCACCGGCUAACUCCGUGCCAGCAGCCGCGGUAAUACGGAGGGUGCAAGCGUUAUCCGGAAUUACUGGGUUUAAAGGGUGCGUAGGUGGCGCUGUAAGUCAGUGGUGAAAGGUUCCGGCUUAACCGGAGAAUGGCCUUUGAUACUGCAGUGCUAGGAUUGGGUUGAGGUUGGCGGAAUGUGACAUGUAGCGGUGAAAUGCAUAGAUAUGUCAUAGAACACCGAUUGCGAAGGCAGCUGACUGGACCUUGAUUGACACUGAGGCACGAAAGCGUGGGGAGCGAAC
rnacentral:rRNA from 1 species